rnacentral:rRNA from 1 species
UUGCAUAUCAAAUAAGCGGAGGAAAAGAAACCAACAGGGAUUGCCUCAGUAGCGGCGAGUGAAGCGGCAAAAGCUCAGAUUUGAAAUCGUGUUUCGGCACGAGUUGUAGAUUGCAGGUUGGAGUCUUUGUGGAAGCGUGUGUCUAAGUCCCUUGGAACAGGGUGCCAUUGAGGGUGAGAGCCCCGUGAGACGCGUGCGGAAGCUGUAAGGCCCUUCUGACGAGUCGAGUUGUUUGGGAAUGCAGCUCUAAGUGGGUGGUAAAUUCCAUCUAAGGCUAAAUAUUGGCGAGAGACCGAUAGCGAACAAGUACUGUGAAGGAAAGAUGAAAAGCACUUUGAAAAGAGAGUGAAACAGCACGUGAAAUUGUUGAAAGGGAAGGGUAUUGGGCUCGACAUGGGAUUUGCGCACCGCUGCUCCUUGUGGGCGGCGCUCUGUGCUUUUCCUGGGCCAGCAUCGGUUUUUGCCGCAGGAGAAGGCGUGCUGGAAUGUGGCUCUUCGGAGUGUUAUAGCCAGUGCGAGAUGCUGCGUGCGGGGACCGAGGACUGCGACAUCUGUCUCGGAUGCUGGCACAACGGCGCAAUACCGCCCGUCUUGAACCAACGGACCA